UGAUUUGCUAAAUUGCGGUCGCAAAAAAAGAAAAUGAUAAUUGCUUUUCACGUCAGUGUGUUUCCAGAAAUUCGGUUCCAGAAAGCGUGACUAGUACAUAUUCUCGCUCCUUCUGUUCCCUCGGACUUCACUUCCCUGGCUUAUCAUACCGA
rnacentral:rRNA from 1 species